rnacentral:piRNA from 1 species
AAUGUACUUAGAGCUAGCCCGGAUUU